GGUUUACAUAUCCUACAUAUAUAGUUUAAUUUUAUUGGAAACAACAAACAUAAAAAAAGAGGUAAAGGGAGACCAACAGACGGAGAGACAUAAGAAAAAGUAAAAGUAAACUGACAAACGGAUAGACGCACACAGAGAUAAAGGGAGCCAGACUGACAGAUAGAGAGAAACAGCAGUAAAGGGAGACCGACAGAUAGAUAUACAGAAACAGCGGUAAAGGGAGACAGACACUCGGAAAGACAGAAACAGCGGUAAAGGGAGACGGCCAGAUAGAUAUACAGAAACAGUGGUAAAGGGAGACAGACACUCGGAAAGACAGAAACAGCGGUAAGGGGAGACCGACAGAUAGAUAUACAGAAACAGCGAUAAAGGGAGACCAAUCGACGGACAGAAACAGAGAUAAAGGGAGACAGACACACGGAAAGACAGAAACAGCGGUAAAGGGAGACCAAUCGACGGACAGAAACAGAGGUAAAGGGAGACAGACACUCGGAUAGAAAGAAACAUAGGUAAAGGGAGUCAGCCAGAAGGUAGACAGAAACAUAGGUAAAGGGAGCCAGCCAAAAGGAUAGACAGAAACAGAGGUAAAGGGAGCCAGACAGACGGAUAGACAGAAACAGAGGUAAAGGGAGACGGACAGACAGAUAGACAGAAACAUAGGUAAAGGGAGACUGACAGACAGAUAGACAGAAACAGCGGUAAAGGGAGACCGAUCGACGGACAGAAACAGAGGUAAAGGGAGACAGACACUCGGAUAGACAGAAACAGAGGUAAAGGGAGCCAGACAGACGGCUAGACAGAAACAGAGGUAAAGGGAGCCAGACAGACAGAGAGACAGAAACAGAGGUAAAGGGAGACGGACAGACGGAUAGACAGAAACAG